GGGCCAACCCGCCGAAAGGCGGGCUAAACCCGCGUACAUGCCACCGGGGCAUCCCGGAGGCAGGAAAGGCUUCGGCCGGACAGGGAUGGGCAUGCGGCGCAUUAGGCAGUAGGCGGGGUAACGGCCCACCUAACCGACGAUGCGUAGGGGUUCUGAGAGGAAGGUCCCCCACACUGGUACUGAGACACGGACCAGACUCCUACGGGAGGCAGCAGUGAGGAAUAUUGGUCAAUGGUCGGGAGACUGAACCAGCCAAGCCGCGUGAGGGAGGAAGGUACAGAGUAUCGUAAACCUCUUUUGUCAGGGAACAAAGACUGGGACGCGUCCCCGGAUGAGUGUACCUGAAGAAAAAGCAUCGGCUAACUCCGUGCCAGCAGCCGCGGUAAUACGGAGGAUGCGAGCGUUAUCCGGAUUUAUUGGGUUUAAAGGGUGCGCAGGCGGUCUGUUAAGUCAGCGGUCAAAGCCCGGGGCUCAACCCCGGCCCGCCGUUGAAACUGGCAGUCUCGAGUUGGAGAGAAGUAUGCGGAAUGCGCGGUGUAGCGGUGAAAUGCAUAGAUAUCGCGCAGAACUCCGAUUGCGAAGGCAGCAUGCCGGCUCCACACUGACGCUGAGGCACGAAAGCGUGGGUAUCGAACAGGAUUAGAUACCCUGGUAGUCCACGCAGUAAAC
rnacentral:rRNA from 1 species